ACUCCUACGGGAGGCAGCAGUAGGGAAUCUUCCACAAUGGGCGCAAGCCUGAUGGAGCAACACCGCGUGAGUGAAGAAGGGUUUCGGCUCGUAAAGCUCUGUUGUUAAAGAAGAACACGUAUGAGAGUAACUGUUCAUACGUUGACGGUAUUUAACCAGAAAGUCACGGCUAACUACGUGCCAGCAGCCGCGGUAAUACGUAGGUGGCAAGCGUUAUCCGGAUUUAUUGGGGCGUAAAGAGAGUGCAGGCGGUUUUCUAAGUCUGAUGUGAAAGCCUUUCGGCUUAACCGGAGAAGUGCAUCGGAAACUGGAUAACUUGAGUGCAGAAGAGGGUAGUGGAACUCCAUGUGUAGCGGUGGAAUGCGUAGAUAUAUGGAAGAACACCAGUGGCGAAGGCGGCUACCUGGUCUGCAACUGACGCUGAGACUCGAAAGCAUGGGUAGCGAACAGGAUUAGAUACCCUGGUAGGAUAGCG
rnacentral:rRNA from 1 species